CCAACUUAUAUUUUUCCGCCUAAUUCCGAUAAUGCCACUUUAUUUCUCUUUUUGUUCACAUACUCUGUAUUUUUUUUUUGGUCUAAACAUACUCUGUAAUCUUACUCUCCUCUAACUAAUAAAAACGUUUUGAAAUAAUCGACCAUCGAAUUCGUCUCUUUUUAUCUAAACCGACCAAACUCAAUUCAACAUUACCGCACUUCUUUCAGUGCCGGCUCUUGAGAUGUGCUCAAGAUUAUCAGGAGACAAAAAAGAAGCUGAUGGAGAAAUUUUCAUUCAAGUCUGCUUUCAUCCUCCUUUUAGCUUUGACUGUGAUGGUGUCUGUAACAGUCCAGAGUGUUGGGGCCAAACGCAUGUUACACGAAGAAACUUCUCGGCCCUUGGUUGAUGUCGAAGCUUCAUUGCCGACGGUUAAGCCACUAAGAGGGGGGUUUGAUUUUUGUACACCAGACUGCAAAGAGUUUUGUUUUGGUACCGGUUGUUAUUGCGAUUGUCCUACUCCUCCAUCAACUCAUGAAUAAAUUGUAUGAUCAACUUCUGAUUAAAAAAAAAGUAUUUGUAAGAAAUUAUGUGUGAUAAACUAAGAAGAAUAAAUCUUUGAAAUAUAAGAAUAUUUUAUGGA